rnacentral:tRNA from 1 species
GGGGUUGUAGCUCAGUGGCAGAGCACUCACCUAGCAUGUGCAAGGUGCUGGGUUAGAGCCUCAGCACCACA